CUAGUGUCAUUUGCCGUCGGGAUGUCGAUAGAUGGAUUCGCCGUGCCAUCGAGUACUGUCCAGUGGAGCUCGAGAUUACUGUUCUCUUGAGUGUUUCAUAUCAACCACCCAAACUGUUUUCUUGUCAUCUCAAACGUUUGGUUCUUUCUGGUGUGUAUCUGGAGCACAAUUUCGGAGAGCAGCUCCGAUCUGAGUGCCGAGUCCUAGAAGAUCUGGUUCUCUGGGAAUGUCGUGAGUUCAGUGGCCUUCAUUCUGACACAUUGAAGAAGUUGGUUGUUCAUAGUUGCUCAAGUCGAGUUGCAGAUAAAUUGGUCAUCAGGGCUCCUUCUCUGGCUUCUCUGCGCCUCGAGCUUCCUUUUUACACCUAUAAAAAUGGUGUUUUAUUAGAUACAGAAAAGUUCCUUAUCGAGGCAUCGAUUUCUCUGACAUCUGAUCAACUAUCUCGAAGAGGCGAGGCUAUCCUUCUGGCGUCUGGGCAGCCUAUUCAAUGUGACGAGCUUGGAGUUGAAAAGUUUUAAUGCAAUGGCAAUUCUACAUAAGGAAUUUGAUAAAUCCCCAGUUGCGAACUUUAUCACUCAACUGGUGUUUUCACUGCAAACAUGAUGUGAACAAAUUCAAGGCUCUUGGAAAAUUGCUGCAGAAGCUUCCUAAUCUGGAGAAGCUUACUUUGAAAAAUUUCUGGGUAGGAUUGUUAUCUUAAUUUUUAAUAAAAAUAUAUGCCGAGUAUGUAACUCUGUAUAUCUGCAUCAACAUCUUACAUGACUUUGUGCAAUUGAACCGAAAGGGAGGUGCAAAUGGUCAACAAGGCGACCCUUAAAACGGAACAGAUCAUUUGAAGUUCCAGAACAAAUUUCAGUUUCGCCGCAACAGUCACCUGAGUUGUAAAUACCAUCAAUAUGCGCUACAUCUCACUUCUGGGUUGAGUUUUUUUGGGUUAAUGUUUUGAGGUUGUGACCAACUGACUUCAAUUUCUGUACUAAACUUGUAAGCUAUGAAGCCCAGCAACCUUGUGAUUUCAUUAAAGCAGGGCCAUGCCUUUGUUUUUAAACAUGCCCCACUGGUUAGCCUUACUGUUACUGUCUGAAUGCGUUACAUGUGCGGUUUAUCUCUUGCCAGCAACCCAAUGCACAGUGUAACUUUCUUUGUUAGAGGAUGAUGACAUGAUAAUACUUUUUUUUCCUCGAACGAUGACAUGAUAUUGCUCGUAGUUUGUCUCUCUAGACCCUUCUUACCCCCUUCUCAAAUAAUAGGGAUCGCACCUGCCCCACUUCUUUUUUUAGGGGAAAUAUUUUGUGAUUAAUUUCUGUGGAUGAUUUAACAAGUCGUGUCUUGAUUUCAGGUGAGGCCAGCUGUAGGACCAAAUGAAUUUCCUAUACUUGAAAACUUGAGAACCUUAUUGCUGGAUGAGUGUGAUUUGCGCGACAACAUCCGAUUACUGCUCCACUUUCUACAGAGCUCUCCUAAUUUGGAAAAGCUCACAGUACGGCUUUGCAAGCUACCCAAAAUUUUCCCAUGUGGGGAAGGAAAAGCCAGGUAGGAGAAGAGAUAUUGUCAGUUCCAGAACCUUGUUCGUUUCAAGUGGCAGAAGCUAAAGUCCACUGAAAUCAUCUACAAAAACGGUAACAAAAUCCAGGGACUGGUUAGUCUUUUUCUGGGCAUCUCAGGCUGUGCACCAAAGAAUACUAUAACACUUACGAAGUAUGAAGAAGAAGAAGAAGAAGAAGAAGGAGGAGGAGGAGGAGGAGGAGGAGGAGGAGGAGACUGAGCCUUACUCUAGGCAGUAGACCAGUAGUAUUCUUGUGUGUGUGUACCGCGGGCUAUUUUCAGAUAAACCAUCUAAUAUACGGGCCACGAGUUUACUUCUGACAUUUUCUAUAUAACUAAAGGAUGUGCUGCAUGGUAUAUUGAGGCGUCCAGUUGGAAUGGAGGAUGCGAUCCCAAAUUGGAGAA